rnacentral:rRNA from 1 species
CGUAGGGGCGAGCGUUGUCCGGAAUUAUUGGGCGUAAAGCGCGCGCAGGCGGUCCCUUAAGUCUGAUGUGAAAGCCCACGGCUCAACCGUGGAGGGCCAUUGGAAACUGGGGGACUUGAGUGCAGAAGAGGAGAGCGGAAUUCCACGUGUAGCGGUGAAAUGCGUAGAGAUGUGGAGGAACACCAGUGGCGAAGGCGGCUCUCUGGUCUGUAACUGACGCUGAGGCGCGAAAGCGUGGGGGAGCAAACAGGAUU